rnacentral:rRNA from 1 species
AUGGACAGUAUCAUGUCAAAUUGCAUCGGUACAUCUGUAGCUUCAGUAAGUGUGCCUCAAAUGUGUGAUGUAUGUGGCCAAGCAGGUCAUCCUUCAAUAGAAUGUACCUUCUAUUCAGCAAUUGGAUCAUCGGUUUCAGAAGUAAGUUAUGCCCAAGGUCAAGGUCCAUUCUCAAACAGCUACAAUCCUUCUUGGAGGAACCAUCCAAACUUGUCGUACAAGAACAAUCAAUCAUAUGCAAGUGGAUCGACAAUACAAGGAAAUCGGCUACCAAAUCAUCCAAGUCAAUUUAAAGUGCCGAGGCAGAAUGAACAACAAAAUGUUCAGCCAAAUGGAAUGGAGGAAAUCAUGAAGAUGCAGUUGGAAUUAAUGAACAAGAUGACAAAUGAAGUUAAUGGCUUAAAGGAUUCUGUUAAGAUGCUUGUGAGCAAAAUGGAUAGUAUGGUGGGAGAAAAUGAAGCAAGGCUGCCUGCUCAACCAAUUCCGAACCCGAAAGCUCACUGUGGGGCAAUAUCUUCAGUUGAUGCAGUGACUACAAGGAGUGGAGCUAUGAUAGGACCAUUACUUCCUAUUCCGAAGAUAUAUGUGCCUCCUGCUAUGAGGCCAAGAUCAUCGGGAACUCCACCUUCAACAUCAUCAGAGAAAAUAAAGGAGAAAGAAGUUGAUAAUCGAAUUGAAACUGAAGUCGAAUUUCCUGGUUUUCAAACAAGAGCUGAGCCUUUGCCAGAGGAAGCAAUAACAACCAACAACAUUCCCUUUCCUGAGAGCUUCAACAAAUUCAAAGAUGACAAGCAAUUUGCCAAAUUUUUGGAAACUAUGAAAGGAGUUCAAAUUACUAUUCCUAUUCUUGAAGCUGUUUUGCAUGUUCCGAUGUAUGCCAAAUAUUUCAAGGAAUUAUUAACAAAGAAAAGAAGCAUGUCUGAGCAAGAAUUUAUAACUCUAUCAAAGGAAUGCAGUGCAAUAAUUCAGAACUCCAUGCCUGAAAAAUUGGAUGAUCCAGGAAGUUUUUGUGUGCCAUGUGUGAUUGGAAACAAAACUUACAGUGCUCUAUGUGACUUGGGUUCAAGUUUUAGUGUGUUACCACAUUCAGUUAGCAAAAGGAUGUUCUUGGGAGAAUUAAAUCCAACAUCCAUAACUCUUCAGUUGGCCGACAUAACAUAUAGGAGACCUGUUGGAAUUCUUGAGUAUGUUUGA